AAAGGAGAUUCCUGACAGAAAGUUAAUUAUCAGUUAGUAGUCAGUUAGUUGUCAGUUAGAGGGCAGUUCUGCAGUUCUAAUGUCAGUUAGAAGCAAUGGUGGGAUUCAGCCAGUUCGCACCACUUCGGGAGAACCGAUUGUUAACUUUCUGAGCAGUUUGGCAAACUGGUUGUUGGAAGAAAUCAUUAGGGAAGAGAACCGGUUGUUAAAUUACUUGAAUCCCACUACUGGUUAGAGGGCAGUUCUAAAGGGCAGUUCUGCAGUCAGUAUGCAGUUGAAAGGCAGUUCGGAAGACAGUUAAUCAUCAGAUUCAAGACGGCUUCUGUGGGAGAUAAGGAUGCCUGCAGCAGCCCCAGGAAGUGAGUUGAACAAGGGAAGCAUGGCAGGCUGAUAGCCAUCCAAUAUGCUCUAUGAUCAAAAGGUAACUCAAACCUACAUCUGCUAAAUCUAAUGCUUUAACCCCCACACCCAUAAUCCAUUGAUGUUCAUGGAAGUCUAGCAUAGAAGGUAGCUGCUGACGGUAUUUGGUAAGAUGCCUGGAGAACAAUAGCAAGACAAAAGAGCACGGCAAACCUCGCUUUGAGGACCUGCGGUGAAAGGCAUGCCCCGACAGCCAGCCGGGAGGAUGUUUACAGAGUCUCCAAAUGUGAAUAUACAGAAGACACAAUUACCAAAUAACUAUCUUGGCCUGUGUGUUCUUUUACUUACAGAGCAAUGUUUCCUGCUAGCAUUCAGGGUGGCUUGGAAAGCCUUCAAGGCAAAUGGCACUUUUUGUUGACACACUGUUAGGCCACACACAGAGCUCCUACUGACAUACAUACACAAGCUUGCGAACGCACAAACAGCUUGAAAAAACACAUCUUUCAGCGCACAUCUCUGAGAGCCUGCCUUCUCCCCAAAUGCCUUUCGAACCUUUGUGAUUAACUAUUUGGACAGAACAUUUGGAAGAAAGGAAGAUGGCAUUUCUCAAACUACAGUGACCAAUCAAAAGAUGUCAUCUAAUGUCCCAGUGGAAAGGUCACAAUGACACUACUAGGUGGUCUUAGUGUCAUUUUGAAAAUGGAAAAGCUCAGGUGUCUUAAAAUCUCUGUUUACUGCCCCCCUCUGUGCACCACAACAAAGGAAGGAAAUUUUCAAAGGACAUUAAAACAUCUGUUCCUUGAAUACAGGUUGCAGUGGAAGGGCUGAACUUGUCCUAGGAAUACAUGUCUUGUCUACUCUAUACACAUCUGGUUGGUAACCCAUUCCAUAAAGAGGAGAAUGUCUAAGACCCAGCUGAGGAGACUUUUAGGUUGAUUGAAACUGUGCUGUUUUCUAAUCUCAGUCAUUGCAAGUUUGAAUUAUCUCAAAGGAAAAAAUAAAGAAAGUUUUAUUGAAGC